GAUGAACGCUAGCUACAGGCUUAACACAUGCAAGUCGAGGGGCAGCAUGGUCUUAGCUUGCUAAGGCCGAUGGCGACCGGCGCACGGGUGAGUAACACGUAUCCAACCUGCCGUCUACUCUUGGACAGCCUUCUGAAAGGAAGAUUAAUACAAGAUGGCAUCAUGAGUUCACAUGUUCACAUGAUUAAAGGUAUUCCGGUAGACGAUGGGGAUGCGUUCCAUUAGAUAGUAGGCGGGGUAACGGCCCACCUAGUCUUCGAUGGAUAGGGGUUCUGAGAGGAAGGUCCCCCACAUUGGAACUGAGACACGGUCCAAACUCCUACGGGAGGCAGCAGUGAGGAAUAUUGGUCAAUGGGCGAGAGCCUGAACCAGCCAAGUAGCGUGAAGGAUGACUGCCCUAUGGGUUGUAAACUUCUUUUAUAAAGGAAUAAAGUCGGGUAUGG
rnacentral:rRNA from 1 species